rnacentral:lncRNA from 1 species
AAAACGUAACAGCCCAGCUUUGAUUAAAGAUGACUUCCUUGUUUACUCAAGAAGUUCACCUUUCUAAAAGACAUGAAGAAAUAGUGUCCCAAAGAUUAAUGUUACUUCAGAAAAUGAAAAAUAAAUUCGGAGAUCAAAGCACAGAAAGGGCAUCUCUCCAAGCCACGGAGACUGCUUGUAGAAGGAACCUCCAGCUCUUGCAGGACAUAGAUGUUGCAGAGAAGGCUUUUCAGACCAAGCUUACCCCACAUCCACAGCCGGAGAUGCUUUCUCUUGAGACUCGUUACUGGGCAUCAGUAGAAGAACAUGUCCCCAAAUGGGAACAGUUUCUUUUAGGAAAAGCACUUAUGUACCAGUUUCAGGAAGGCUCAGGAUGGUUUUGAAAAAUGAGAGCUGGGAAUGGCUACUGAAUUCCGACAGGCUUAUUUGAAGAUUAUCAACCUUGUGAAGACAAAUACCCCUCCCUCAGUGAUAUCUUCCAACUCCUCCUCCCCCUCCUUUCUACUACCAUUAUCUCUAAAACUUGAGAAAAAUAAAACACGUAAACUCGGAAAGCUGUGUGGGUCACAGCCCUCAGCAG